rnacentral:rRNA from 1 species
AACGCACCUUGCGCUCCUUGGUAUUCCGAGGAGCAUGCCUGUUUGAGUGUCAUGGUAUUCUCAAUCCAUUCAAUACUGUCAAAGGUAUUGGAUUGGUAUUGGAUGUGGAGGAUUAUUGCUGGUCUCUUUAUUGAGUAUCAGCUCCUCUGAAAUGCAUUAGUGUGAAUGUUUACCGAGCAUUUUCUCAGUGUGAUAAUUAUCUACGCCGUUCUGUGAAGCAUAACUAUGGGAUUCGGCUUCCAAUAGUCCUUCACUGGACAAUAUCUUUGACCUUUGACCUCAAAUCAGGUAGGAUUACCCGCUGAACUUAA